CGUUACAGAAAAACUGCAGGGGGAGACGGUCCUUCACCGAGCUGCGUCCCUGUGUCAAAGAACUAUCUGUCAUUAUCUGGUUGAAGCAGGAGCCUCGCUCAUGAAGACAGACCUACAGGAGGAGCUGUGCCGGCUGCAAACGGAGAACCAGCUGGCCAAGGAGGAGGUGAAGGAGGUGCUGCAGGCGCUGGAGGAGCUCGCCGUCAACUACGAGCAGAAGAGGCAAGAGGUGGAGGAGAGAGAUCAGACCAACCUGCAGCACGAGACGGUACAGAUAUGUUUCAGGAGAAAGUGUUUAAAGUCUGCAUCUUGACUUCUGCAUCAUCAUCAUCAGCAGUGACGUCAACACAGCUGAGAAACUACUUCAGUUAGAAGAGUCAGAUUUGAUACACUGAAGCAGACAUGAACAUUAACUCACAGCUAACACAUCACACCACAUGUUCUGUCCAGACUGCUGAAUGAUCAGAGGGAAAACCAAACAUUCAAUCAUUCAGCUUAACCAACAAGGCAGAUCCAGGUACCGGCCGCAGCGGGACUCGAACACCAUUUAAAGUGUCUAAAGAGGGUAGUGUUGUAGU